CCAAUAGCGUAUAUUAAAGUUGUUGCAGUUAAAAAGCUCGUAGUUGAAUUUCGGGGUUAGUAGGUCGGUCAUGCCACUGGUAUGUACUGGUCUCACUGAUUCCUCCUUCCUGAUGAACCGUAAUGCCAUUAAUUUGGUGUUGCGGGGAGACUGGACUGUUACUUUGAAAAGAUUAGAGUGUUUAAAGCAGGCUAACGCUUGAAUACAUUAGCAUGGACUAAUGAAAUAGGACGUUCGAUCCUAUUUUGUUGGUUUCUAGGAUUGACGUAAUGAUUAAUAGGGAUAGUUGGGGGCAUUAGUAUUCAAUUGUCAGAGGUGAAAUUCUUGGAUUUAUUGAAGACUAACUACUGCGAAAGCAUUUGCCAAGGAUGUUUUCAUUAAUCAAGAACGAAAGUUAGGGGAUCGAAGACGAUCAGAUACCGUCGUAGUCUUAACCAUAAACUAUGCCGACUAGGGAUCGGAUGAUGUUAAUUUUUUAAUGACUCAUUCGGCGCCUUACG
rnacentral:rRNA from 1 species